UUCAUGAGCCGGAGGCUGUGAGAAAUGCUCACUGUGCAAAGGGGGACUCUCACCAGAGUUUCUGAAGCUGUCCUAGAAAUACGCUUUUCAGAUUGAUUCAGCAUUACCAGCUUAUCCAACAAAAGUAUUAACAUACACAUUAACAACGUCGAAAGUAGCCUACUUUAAGAGAAAAUAUGCAGAAGAAGAAGAUUUACAUCAAGAUUACCAUGGGUAUUUUCCAAAACACCUGAUAUUGCCCGAGGACAGGACCUGCAUACUCAAACUGUCCCUGGAGAAGCUGCGGUUUCUAGAAGACCCAGAAACCUACUUGAGAAGGUCUGUGUUAAUUAACAAUUUGCUGAGGAAGAUCCACCUGGAGACGGAGAAAGAGAGCUAUGAAUACUUUAAAGAAGCUCCCUGUUAUAAGACUGCUUAUUCUGAUACAAGAAAACGGCUGAAGUUUAUGGUACAGGAAUGCUGUUCUCAGUCGCUCUAUUACGAAGAGCUGCAUUCGUAUCAUAUUGUGCCUUAUGCUUCGGAAAAUGCCAUUUAUGGGAUGGGCUACACUAGCAGCCACUUGGAGCAGAAUUCCCAGUUGCUUAUUUAUAAAAUGAAUUAAAGUAACUGUUAAGUCCAUUGAUACUUUGUUUCUAAAUGCCUGAACUGUUUAUAGUGAAGACGUUAACAUAAGGCACUUGAGAUCAAAGAUGAGAUGCAUGCUAAACUGAUUGGAGAGAGCUCUGGUUAUUACUCAGCAGUCCUUAGUGUCAUCCAGUCAAAUUGGAAACACACCCACCUGUUAUAAAGUGGCGAAUAAGUGCUCUAGAAGCCCUUCCCCAAUUUUUUUUUUAAAGAUAAGGUAUAUAGGAAAGAGACCCGUGUCAACAUUUUACACAGAUUUAAACCUUUUAAGCCCCCUCUUUGCAAAUUGUGCCACUCACAGUGGAAAGUAACAGAAAGUAACAACUCAAACUGAUAAAAUCUUGUCCCUGAGGAUUAAGGGUGGGACACAUUUACAGUAAUUUUCUGUAGAGGAUGAGGAGGGGGAGGUUCUUGCUGCAAAGCUUCGGCUCGCCAAGCGUUGUGCCAAACCACUGAUUGGCGCCAGUCCCCCUUUAGCAUCAGCGGCCAUUCAGGGCGGGGCCGCCGCACUGCGACCGGACUGCUCAGUGUAACGACCAGACUGCUCCAACCUGAUCCAGUUUCCAUUUUGCUUUUAGGUUGUUUUUUUUUUUGUCUUGGUAGAUUUUUCUCUUUUAAAGUGAAAUAUAAUAAAAUAGCCUUGUGGAUGGGCUUAUCUCUAAGUUCUAGGGGCAGUUAAAAUUUGUGGUGGGUCUUUAGUUAAGAGUUUAGAUUUUAUUUACGAUGUAAUUUUUAUAGGCCGUGAAGCUCAGGAAAAGAGUAGGCAGGCAAAAUUUGUUUUUAAUGGGUUGAUAAUUUUUUUAAAAAGUCUUAUCUGCAAAAAUUGGGGAGAGCAACAGAAAUUCUCCAUGAUGUGACUUCAUCAUCUUAGAGUGCAUUUCAGGCUGCCUGGAUGAAACUUUGCACUGAUUUUUGUAUAAUAGUUGACCAUUCACUAUUUGACAAAUGUUUCAGAAUGCCUUUGGUGGUCAAGUUUAGAUAAGUCCCUCUAUUGUGCAACUUGAAAGCUAAUUAUUUAACAAGUUGCAUAGAUUUCCUGGAAUUGUUUGAAGUGGUUCAUCAUUUUCUUUGAGGUUCGAGUGAGAUGUCUGAUUUCAAUGUCCGGAGUUGCGUCCUAUGGAGCAUACCAUUUAAAUAAUUGUCACUAGCUGAUAAAACAGAUUGGGAAAACUAGGUGCCAAAGGUAUAUUCAAAAUACCAAAGACCCAAAGAUGAGUGCUGGACAGACUGUGAUAAUCAAGAUAAGAGUCUUAAAUAAGGAUUGUACAGGACCUCGGAGAACAUCGUCAAGGGUUUUGAACGAUUUGCUUACUAACGUGCUUUCAGAGCACUUUAUACAUAACAAUGGUAGUCAAGGACACUGCUUUAAUUAAAGACAUUACAGGCCUUCAUCCAUCAUAUGUUUCAGCAAAUUUAAACGUGGUGAUGUGUCAGCCUUGUAUCUUGCCUAGUUGAAAGCCAUCUUAUAACCAAGAAGGCCUUUUCUCUUCAAGAGAAUUUUGUUUUCAGUUUUGAUUCAGAACUUGCUCCCUCUAACGAAUCAUAGAGGCGAUUAACACGGAUGCUUUUGGUAUAGAGAAUAUUGGUACUCUAACCAGCAUGCAUUGUUAAAGCAACACAGAUAUAUAAUUGGUAAAAGUAUCAGCUUUAUAUUUAAUUGCUCAAUCAAAAUUAGGCAAAAAAAAUGCUUUAGAACAAACUGAACAAUUAUAAUUGAGGUUAAUUUCUAAAGGCAAUUUGGUAUAAAUGGUGAGAUAGCUUUGAAAUACAAAUAGAGAUGUUUAAAAAUUAAUUUAAGGGCCAUAAUUUGGCAGCAAAGUUUAGAAACUUUAUUUCACUGCUUAGAAAAUACCUUAUUUUUCAGAAUGUGUCUUUUAAAAUGUAGGUUUCUUAAACAAUGGGGACAGUAAUUGAAUAGACUCCAAAUUUUUUAGGAUACUUAUACUAUCACAUAAUUAAAAAUAGAAUUAGCUCUCCAGUAGUUUAAGUUUUUUUUACUGAAAAGAACAUUUGGCUUGGUUUAGGACAGUGCUAAUAGAUGUGACUUACAAAAAUGUCACAUAUUAGAGUUGUUUGAUGAGAGAAAUGCACAUACUUUGCAGUUUAAGAGAGAGGGAGAGAAAAAAAUUACCAAGAAAGUGUGAAAUUGUAAUAUUUACUGUAUGUCAGAAAUCUUAAACAAAGCAAGACCUCUUGGUCAACGAACCAGUAAGAGAGGUGAAGUCUGUUUAUUUGGUGACAUUAACCAGCUCUCCGAUCUAUACAGUCAUAUGUAGAGAAGGAACUGUCUUAGAAAACAGCAGUAUUUGUGAAUAUGCUUUUAAAAAAUAUAUAUGCUGACUUCAAAACAAGUUAUUUAAAAAAAUACCUUCUAGAGCAUCUAAUUUCUUUUCCAAUAAACAAUUCAUAGAUGA